GAUGGAUGCUGGCGGCGUGGAUGAGGCAUGCAAGUCGAAUGGGUUUAGGCCCAUGGCAGACGAGGUAGGAACACGUAGGUACGUGCCCAAGAGUCAGGGAUAACCCGGUGAAAAUCGGAAUAAUACUUGAUAGUCCCUUCGGGGUAAAGAUUUAUCGCUCUUGGAACGGCCUGCGGGCUAUCAGCUUGUAGGUAGUGUAACGGACUACCUAGGCUACGACGGCUAGGGGAGGUGAGAGCCUGACCCCCACCGAUGGAACUGAGACACGGUCCAU
rnacentral:rRNA from 1 species